GGAUUAGAUACCCUGGUAGUCCACGCCGUAAACGAUGUGUGCUAGCUGUUGGAUAGUAUUCUAUUCAGUGGUCCAGCUAACGCUUUAAGCACACCGCCUGGGGAGUACGGCCGCAAGGUUAAAACUCAAAGGAAUUGACGGGGACCCGCACAAGCGGUGGAGCAUGUGGUUUAAUUCGAUGAUACGCGAGGUACCUUACCUACCCUUGACAUAUUAGUUGUGAUUUCUGGAAACAGAUUUCUUUGGUUCGCCCAGGCUAAUACAGGUGUUGCAUGGCUGUCGUCAGCUCGUGCCG
rnacentral:rRNA from 1 species